AUGUUCAUGGGUUAAGGAUUCUACUUGGUUUGUCAUCUCAAUAUUGUCAAUUUAGUAUAUAAAAUGGAAGGUUGCUUCUCUUCCAAGAAACAUAUAGAAUUGUUGACACAGGAAACAUCAAAUAUAAAAAAGAGCAGAACAACUGAGUGAAGAAAACACACACACAGCGUCCUCUCGCCGCAACCCAAUUUGCUUUAGUUACAAACAUUCCUUCCUCCUAAAAGCAACCU